rnacentral:rRNA from 1 species
AGUACACGAGUGGCGGACGGGUGGCGUAACGACGUACGGAAUAUACUUCUAACAGGAGAUACUCCGGAACGUAGAGUUAAUACCCACUAGUAUUAUAGAUUCGUCAUGAAUUUAUGAUUAAAGCUCAGGCGGUUGAAGAUUAUCGUGCGUCUGAUUAGGUAGUUGGUAGGGUAAUGGCCUACCAAGCCAACGAUCAGUAGCUGGUCUGAGAGGAUGAUCAGCCACACUGGAACUGAGACACGGUCCAGACUCCUACGGGAGGCAGCAGUAGGGAAUAUUGGGCAAUGGAGGCAACUCUGACCCAGCCAUCCCGCGUGCAGGAAUAAGGCCCUAUGGGUUGUAAACUGCUUUUAUUAGGGAAGAAAAACUUCGAUUCAUCGGAGCUUGACGGUACCUAACGAAUAAGCACCGGCUAACUCCGUG